UUGCACUUCAUUUUUAAUCCUGUUUCUAGCAGGGAUGCACCAAUAUAUCGGUAUAUUUAUAUAAUCCUCGCUGACUGCAACUAGAAGAUGUUUACCAGUGGCUCUGGUUUGUGUUAAAAUGCCCUAAAUUUGAAUGCAAAAUCACAAAAGAUGUUGACAAAUGCAACUCUCCGGAGAGUAGAGUGGGUUUUUUUCCCCCCCAAUUGAUACACCAGUAAAAGCCCUCGCUGUACAUAAUAUGAGCCUGCAUAAGCUAACCUAUGAAGAAAAUUGAGAGGCCUAUAUCUCCAUUCAUACGCCAACGAGAAAUUGGAUUCCUCCCGACUGGCAAUUGUGUCCAAAAAGAAAGAAAAAGAAAAAUCAAAUCAAAUAAAUGGAGCUGCCUAAGGAGAGAAAUUCUCUUGCUGAAAAGCUACACAACAUCAGCGGAGUUUUAAAAAAACAGGGUGGGGAUGGGGGCAUCAUAGAGAUCCGACAAAAUGAGAAGGGGGGGAGCUUUCCAGCAAGGGCACUGAAUUAACCCAUAUUAGUGUAAUACAAUGCAACAGGAAGAAAUAUGUGCCAGCACAAAGUGUUGGGCUCACACUGUGAGGAAAAAAGAAAAAAAAAAAGCACGAUGGAGUGAGUCACUCAGCAGACAAAAGCAUGCAUGAAUUUGUCUCUCACGCCGCCUCUAAUGAGUCAUGUCAGUGGUUUUCAAGGUGAAGGGUUGUGAUCAUUCCCGGGAAAAAUAAAAUAAAAUUAAAGAAAAUUGAUUUAAUUUCUAAGAGCUUAGGAAAAAGAGGGUUAGGGGGGAAAUAAUAGCAGAGAGACAAUUAAGAGCAUAAGAAGUGACAGUGCAGCAGGGCUGUUUCUGUGUCCAUCCCUCACCUGGCGUCAUCUCCCCGCGUUCCCUUACCCGAGGUAACCGAUUCAAUCAAUACAUCAGGCGGCAGCUCGAGUCAAGCUCCAUUUUCCUACCGUGACGGCAGCUCAGGGAAAAGCAAGGGAAGAAUUAUUUUAUUUUCAUACAGGUAUCCCACCGGACGUCGGGUUCAGCCGCUGUUACGUUAAAUGUAACCUAGUUUAUAUUCCGCAAGGAGCGACGUUUAGCUGAAUCAAGACCGAUGAGACACGUGGAAAAACAAAGUGCAAGUUGACAUUGCGGUUUAGUCAUAAAGCAUCGG
ensembl:lncRNA